rnacentral:rRNA from 1 species
GACGAACGCUGGCGGCGUGCUUAACACAUGCAAGUCGAACGGAAAGGCCCUGCUUUUGUGGGGUGCUCGAGUGGCGAACGGGUGAGUAACACGUGAGUAACCUGCCCUUGACUUUGGGAUAACUUCAGGAAACUGGGGCUAAUACCGGAUAGGAGCUCCUGCUGCAUGGUGGGGGUUGGAAAGUUUCGGCGGUUGGGGAUGGACUCGCGGCUUAUCAGCUUGUUGGUGGGGUAGUGGCCUACCAAGGCUUUGACGGGUAGCCGGCCUGAGAGGGUGACCGGCCACAUUGGGACUGAGAUACGGCCCGGACUCCUACGGGAGGCAGCAGUGGGGAAUAUUGCACAAUGGGCGGAAGCCUGAUGCAGCAACGCCGCGUGCGGGAUGACGGCCUUCGGGUUGUAAACCGCUUUCGCCUGUGACGAAGCGUGAGUGACGGUAAUGGGUAAAGAAGCACCGGCUAACUACGUG